rnacentral:rRNA from 1 species
GAUGAACGCUGGCGGCGUGCCUAAUACAUGCAAGUCGAGCGAACGGACGAGAAGCUUGCUUCUCUGAUGUUAGCGGCGGACGGGUGAGUAACACGUGGAUAACCUACCUAUAAGACUGGGAUAACUUCGGGAAACCGGAGCUAAUACCGGAUAAUAUUUUGAACCGCAUGGUUCAAAAGUGAAAGACGGUCUUGCUGUCACUUAUAGAUGGAUCCGCGCUGCAUUAGCUAGUUGGUAAGGUAACGGCUUACCAAGGCAACGAUGCAUAGCCGACCUGAGAGGGUAAUCGGCCACACUGGAACUGAGACACGGUCCAGACUCCUACGGGAGGCAGCAGUAGGGAAUCUUCCGCAAUGGGCGAAAGCCUGACGGAGCAACGCCGCGUGAGUGAUGAAGGUCUUCGGAUCGUAAAACUCUGUUAUUAGGGAAGAACAUAUGUGUAAGUAACUGUGCACAUCUUGACGGUACCUAAUCAGAAAGCCACGGCUAACUACGUGCCAGCAGCCGCGGUAAUACGUAGGUGGCAAGCGUUAUCCGGAAUUAUUGGACGUAAAGCGCGCGUAGGCGGUUUUUUAAGUCUGAUGUGAAAGCCCACGGCUCAACCGUGGAGGGUCAUUGGAAACUGGAAAACUUGAGUGCAGAAGAGGAAAGUGGAAUUCCAUGUGUAGCGGUGAAAUGCGCAGAGGUAUGGAGGAACACCAGUGGCGAAGGCGACUUUCUGGUCUGUAACUGACGCUGAUGUGCGAAAGCGUGGGGAUCAAACAGGAUUAGAUACCCUGGUAGUCCACGCCGUAAACGAUGAGUGCUAAGUGUUAGGGGGUUUCCGCCCCUUAGUGCUGCAGCUAACGCAUUAAGCACUCCGCCUGGGGAGUACGACCGCAAGGUUGAAACUCAAAGGAAUUGACGGGGACCCGCACAAGCGGUGGAGCAUGUGGUUUAAUUCGAAGCAACGCGAAGAACCUUACCAAAUCUUGACAUCCUUUGACAACUCUAGAGAUAGAGCCUUCCCCUUCGGGGGACAAAGUGACAGGUGGUGCAUGGUUGUCGUCAGCUCGUGUCGUGAGAUGUUGGGUUAAGUCCCGCAACGAGCGCAACCCUUAAGCUUAGUUGCCAUCAUUAAGUUGGGCACUCUAAGUUGACUGCCGGUGACAAACCGGAGGAAGGUGGGGAUGACGUCAAAUCAUCAUGCCCCUUAUGAUUUGGGCUACACACGUGCUACAAUGGACAAUACAAAGGGCAGCGAAACCGCGAGGUCAAGCAAAUCCCAUAAAGUUGUUCUCAGUUCGGAUUGUAGUCUGCAACUCGACUACAUGAAGCUGGAAUCGCUAGUAAUCGUAGAUCAGCAUGCUACGGUGAAUACGUUCCCGGGUCU